GCCUGAUGCAGCAACGCCGCGUGCGCGAUGAAGGCCUUCGGGUCGUAAAGCGCUUUCGGGAGAUGAGGAAGGACAGUAUCCCCGGAAUAAGACUCGGCUAACUACGUGCCAGCAGCCGCGGUAAACGUAGGAGUCUAGCGUUAUCCGAAUUUACUGGGCGUAAAGCGCGUGUAGGCGGUUCGGUAAGUUGGAUGUGAAAGCUCCUGGCUCAACUGGGAGAGGUCGUUCAAUACUGUCGGACUCGAGGAUGGUAGAGGGAGGUGGAAUUCCCGGUGUAGUGGUGAAAUGCGUAGAUAUCGGGAGGAACACCAGUGGCGAAAGCGGCCUCCUGGACCAUUCCUGACGCUCAGACGCGAAAGCUAGGGGAGCGAACGGGAUUAGAAACCCCGGUAGUCCUAGCCGUAAACGAUGUAGACUUGGCGUUGGUGGGGUAAAAAGCCAUCAGUGCCGAAGCUAACGCGAUAAGUCUACCGCCUGGGGACUACGGCCGCAAGGUUA
rnacentral:rRNA from 1 species